rnacentral:ncRNA from 1 species
GCAAGAUAAAUUUUGAUCUCCAUGAGGUGAUCUUCCGAAGACCAGAUUAUAAUGGAUCGAACGGGUGAAUGUUGCAUAAUUCUCCGAAGAGUUUUCGGAAGCGGUGAAAUGCCAAUCUGACCUAGUGCUAGCUGGUUUUCUACGAAACAUAUGUAAGUAUGACAUCUUUCCGCACAAAAGUGCACAGAUUUAUGGUGGUACAGCACUGAUUUCCAAACGAAAGUUUAGGUUGAGGGGACGUGAAAAUCCUACCUUUGGAAGAGAAUCUCGGAAUGACAUAAAUUGAUAAAAGAUUUUCAGACUGCUAAUGCGAAGUUGGGCAGUCAAGACGGAAACAGCCGAGAACACGAAACAAGGUCCCAAAUGAUUAUUAAGUGAAAAUAAGGAAGUAACAUAUUGAAUUCAGCUGUAAAGUGAGCCUGGUAGUAGCUAUCUUUUAAUGACCGUUUUGUAACAACGUAGCAGCUUUUUAUUUAUAUAAGAAUAUAAAUCUUAGAAUGUGCGCCUAAAAUUUAACGGGUCUAAAUAAUCAACCGAUAUCGUGUUUAUUUAUUAAAAAAUUUUUUAUUUUUUAAUAGAUACAGGUAGUAGAACAUUCAGUAAAACUUAAAAUAAAACAGUGUUUCAUUGUUUUUAGGUAACUGAAGAGAUAAUGC